AGUAUAGGUAUCUUGUUAAUAAUCGAAAUAUGGUUUUAUAAUUUGAAAAAUAAUUUAUAGUUAAGUAGUUUUUAAUGAAAUAUAUUAAUAACUAAAGUUUAAAGUACUGUGAAGGAAAGAAUUAAUUGAAUAAAGAUUUUUAAUAGGAAAUUUUAAUUGCUGUACCUUGUGUAUUAGGGGAGAUUAAUAUAAGUUAGUUAAAUUGAUCAUCUCGAAAUAAAAACAGCUAGUUUUAUAGGAUUAUUUUUGUAGAAUAAAAAUGUUGAAUAUAAAUUUAAAGGUGAAAUGCCAGUCGAGUUUUAUGAUAUCUAGUUUUUUCAAAUAUAAAUUUAAUUUAGGUUUUAUGUUAAUAAGAUUUAAAAUCAAAGUAUAGGAGGGAGUAGCUUCUUAUAUGAUAUAUUGAAAAGUUUAGUAUGAAGAACAUAUUUGAAUUAGGCUUUAAAGUAGCUAUAAUAAUAUAGUGUUUUAACUAAGUAUAGUGUUUAAAAAUAUUUAUAUUUACUUUGGGAGUGUAUGAAAAAAUUAAUUGGAAUAAAAUAAAUUAAGAUAUAAUGAUUUUAUUAGUAAAGUUGUAUUGUAAAGGGAAAUACUUAAAUAGUAGUGUGUUUUAUGAAAUAGUAUGGAAGUACAAAGGAACUCGGCAAAUAUUUUUCUUGCCUGUUUAUCAAAAACAUGUCUGUUUGAAGAUAUAAGAAGUUCGGCCUGCCCACUGAUGUAGUUUAAAGGGCCGCGGUAUUUUGACCGUGCGAAGGUAGCAUAAUCGUUAGGUUUUUAAUUGAGAUCUAGAAUGAAUGGUUUGACAAAGAAAAAUCUGUCUUUGUGUUUAAUAAUUGAAUUUAACUUUUAAGUGAAAAGGCUUAAAUAAAUUAAAGGGACGAUAAGACCCUAUAAAACUUGAUGUAAGGUUUUACUAAGUUAAAAUUUAAGUUUUAAAGAUUUAGUGAAAUUUUUAUAUUAUAUUGGGGUGAUAAAUACAAAAUGUUUAUUAACUGUGAGAAACUGGAGACAAAAAUAGGUGGUUAAGAUGAUUAAUUGAUCCUAAUUAAAGAUUAAAAAUUUAAGUUACUUUAGGGAUAACAGCGUUAUUUUCUUUGAGAGUUCUUAUCGAAAAGAGAGUUUGCGACCUCGAUGUUGAAUUAAAAUUUCUA
rnacentral:rRNA from 1 species